CGGGUAAUUCUCCUCCCACCAGGCAUGCACGGAGGACAGAUGAGCAAGUCAGCCACAGAAAACCAGCGAAGAAGAAACGACAGGUGUACGGUUACAGGAAUUUUGAUGACCCCUGCAGGGUAGCUGACAACACAUCAGGAGGAAAGAACAUACAGGGCAGUUUGAGGCAAGUCUCCUCCGGGUGGUAGAACCACUUGACCCUGACCACCAUGCUGGAGCUCCACGACUCCCAGAGGCUCUCCACUCUGCCCACGUAGGGCAGCUGAGGCCGGCCAGAUAACAGGUCUCUGCAUCUGUCUGCCCGAGGGCGGGGCUGAGCUCCACACACACCCACACACAGAGCAGAGAGGCCACAGCGGACAGGAUAGAGCGUGCGCUUCAGCUGCAUUCACACCAAAUCUGGCAACGGGGCACCUUCCCACAGGGUUGUGUGCAGGUGUGCAGAGCGCGCUCGAUCACCGCUACUCUCGUCUCACUCUGCUCUCAGCUUGUUCUGAAGUCGGUGAGCCAGGGAGGAAGGGUUAACUUUGAAUGAAUGUUUUACCUGUGUGGGGUUACCGGACCAUUUCCACAGCUGGCGUCCAGGCAGCAGGGGAGCCAUGUUGUGCAGAGGCUCAGG